AUUGAACGCUGGCGGCAUGCCUUACACAUGCAAGUCGAACGGCAGCACGGGAGCUUGCUCCUGGUGGCGAGUGGCGAACGGGUGAGUAAUACAUCGGAACGUACCCUGAAGUGGGGGAGUAACGUAGCGAAAGUUACGCUAAUACCGCAUAUUCUGUGAGCAGGAAAGAGGGGGAGUCGCAAGACCUCUUGCUUUAGGAGCGGCCGAUGUCGGAUUAGCUAGUUGGUGAGGUAAAGGCUCACCAAGGCGACGAUCCGUAGCGGGUCUGAGAGGAUGAUCCGCCACACUGGGACUGAGACACGGCCCAGACUCCUACGGGAGGCAGCAGUGGGGAAUUUUGGACAAUGGGCGCAAGCCUGAUCCAGCCAUGCCGCGUGAGUGAAGAAGGCCUUCGGGUUGUAAAGCUCUUUCGGUGGGAAGGAAAUUGCUUCGGUUAAUACCUGGAGUAGAUGACGUACCCGGCAUAAGAAGACACCGGCUAACUACGUG
rnacentral:rRNA from 1 species